AGGAAGAGGAGGAUUCCGAUGACUCCAAGGCAACAGUCUCUGGGACACUGAACCCACUUCACCUCAGCACAAAAACAGCUGGCCUCAUUCAUCAUGUGUAGCCGAUUCAGCUUCUCUGGGAAACUCCAAAACCCUCUCAAAGGGUCCUCAACCUCUGCCCUCAAACCACUAUCGCCGUGAGGAUGACGAUGACAAUGACAAUGACGAUGCUGAUGACAAUGAUGGCCUGUGUGCAACACUCUGCUGGCCCUCCCAGAGGCUCUACCAGGAAUCCCCCACAGCCUGGGACUUCUGCUCCUGGAAACAGUUAAGGCUUUGGCAAGAGGCUCUCCCACAAGGCAAUUCGAUCUCCCCUGUCUGUCUGUGAGGGUUCGGGGCACUGCUGUGGCACGCCAGACACAGCAGCUACUUUCUGUGAACAGCCUCCUCAUAAACGUCAGUCCUGUUGGGGGGUGGGGAGGGGGCCUUGAUUUAUUAUAUAGCUUUUGGACAGUUCCUACAGAAAUAUUGCCAAACAGUGGAAUAAUCAACUCUUUCACUCAAGCCCCCUCAGACUUUUUUAAAUGAAAGAAUAAAGUACGCAAUGAGCCUGAGCUAAAUAAAUAAAAAUGCCACACUUUUGCCCAACAGACCUUUCUGCGUCACUGAGAAAUAUUUGCAGACCUCAACAAUCUUUUAUCUUCGUGAUGAUGUUCCAGCCUUCCAAGUUUCGGACAUCCUAAGAAAUUCUUUGAUUUGGGCUCUCUAAUGAUCUCCCAUGAACAAUU
rnacentral:antisense_RNA from 1 species